UACGUAGGGGGCAAGCGUUGUCCGGAAUCAUUGGGCGUAAAGCGCGCGUAGGCGGCCCGGUAAGUCCGCUGUAAAAGUCCAGGGCUCAACCCUGGAAAGCCGGUGGAUACUGUCGGGCUAGAGUCCGGAAGAGGCGAGUGGAAUUCCUGGUGUAGCGGUGGAAUGCGCAGAUAUCAGGAGGAACACCGAUGGCGAAGGCAGCUCGCUGGGACGGUACUGACGCUGAGGCGCGAAAGCUAGGGGAGCGAACAGG
rnacentral:rRNA from 1 species